rnacentral:rRNA from 1 species
UACGGAGGGUGCAAGCGUUGUCCGGAAUUACUGGGCUUAAAGGGUGCGUAGGCGGACCAGAAAGUGCUUUGUGAAAUCCCCCGGCUCAACCGGGGAACAGCGGGGCAUACUGCUGGUCUUGAGGCAAGUAAGGGUUGCGAGAACUGUAGGUGGAGCGGUGAAAUGCGUAGAUAUCUACAGGAAUGCCGAUGGUGAAGACGCGCAACUGGGCUUGUCCUGACGCUGAGGCACGAAAGCGUGGGGAGCAAACAGG